CCCAUCGCUGAUCUCUCUCGACAUUCUUCAGUUCGAACUCCUUAAUCAGUUUAACGCUUUACCGGAUGGAUAUGUCUUUGUUAUUGAGGUUUCCCUGUUUAGUAUCUUUGUCGCCCCAACCUUGCACAUGAUAUGCGUAGCUUUGGAAGGAGAAUUAGACAUGCACAGCAAGACUGAGCUAAUACUAUUUUUUAUUUAUUGUGGAAAUACCAACCCAUGUUUUGUCUAGUCAUCAUCGCCUGAUAAAGUUAUUAGAAGCUCAUCAGGCCAAGGUCGCGUUACUCUUUUAGUUUUAUUUUUGCUGACUUCUCUUGGUUCCAUUUUAGUUAAUUGUUUAAAGGCGCUUUGUGUUUAAUCACAUUUCGCAAAAUCAGGCAGCAAAUGUUCAUUAGAUUAAUAGAAGAAAAAUGAAUUGUUUGUGUCUAUUAGAGUUUUCACCCGGAGAUACAACGAUUAUUUGCCAGUAGAUAUUAAAUUUUGAAACUGUGCAUUUGCAUUAUUAAUCACAAAGAUUAGAACUAUACAUUUAAGCGGAGACAGAUGGUAUAAAGGUACAAGGCAUGGAAACCUUCCGUGGGAGGAGGUGGGGUCAUUCACCCCCAAGCUUCAAUUUCGAGGCCGUUUAAGACUGGACGCAUUCCCUGGCCAAACCAUGGGAGAAAUAAUGUUUACCGUGACACAUCUAUGCGUGUCAAGCUUCGGGAGCGAUAUCAUCACAGGCUGCUUACAACGCCUCAAGAAGCAUGAGCUGUUCAUACAGCUUACAAUCAUAUACUUUCCAUCACCAGCCGGAAAAAGAAAACAAUCAGAUUGCGGAAUGAGAAGUAUGAUGGAAGCAAGAUCAUUUGAAAUCAAAUCAAAGUUUAUUUAUAAAAUUCACAGUAUGGCAAACCGCAGUAGAUGCAAACAAUGAAAUGAGUUUCCCUGAGAGCUCCCUAUAAUGAAGUAAUAGGUUUAAAAAGUAAGUAAAUAAAUAAUUGAGUAAAAUAAGGUAAAACGUAUAAAUUGUCCACACGAAUAGCCUGAGGUUUGGGCUAACCGCCCAAGCAUAGAAUAUACUAUGGUUUCCAAUGCAAGAAUUCUUUUCGUCAUGUAGGUGGAAAGUAUGCUGACACUGGUUUCACUGUCCAGUUUCUUUGCUUACUGCAAUGGAUGCUGCCAGUGAGGACAUCACAGCAGAAGCUCAUGGACUCUAUGACAUAGAGAAUGACUUUGGCAUGCAAGAGGUUUUUGCGCACGGUGCGUCGCGAGGGAGGAUAUCCAGUGUGAGGUCCAUGAAAGUCUAUGGCCAGAGAGACACAACUGACAUAGUGUCCACUGGUGUGAGACCACAGAACAGCAUUACACUUUUACUGUAUCACAGUAUUUUGUACAUUUGGCUACUACAGUACAUCAUUGUUUCAUAGGUCUGUGUAUGUAUCUACCGUACAUUAUUGUUUCAUAGGUCUGUGUAUGUAUCUACCGUACAUCAUUGGUUCAUAGGUCUGUGUAUGUAUCUACAUCAUUGUUUCAUAGGUCUGUGUAUGUAUCUACCGUACAUCAUUGUUUCAUAGGUCUGUGUAUGUAUCUACUGUACAUCAUUGUUUCAUAGUUCUGUGUAUGUAUCUACCGUACAUCAUUGUUUCAUAGGUCUGUGUAUGUAUCUACCGUACAUCAUUGUUUCAUAGGUCUGUGUAUGUAUCUACGGUACAUCAUUGAGUACUGAAGUAUAAGGUGCUGUGUAGGAUUCCAUUUUUUUCUCAGUUUUUGUGUGUCCUGUGCAUUGGACUGUGUUGCAAGAAAAUCAAAUUUUAAAUGUUUUCCAUGUAAAUAUGAUUUGUCCCCUAAGCAUAUUGAAAUCAUUUCUUCACAGGAUACAACAAUAUAGAACCUUGUACUUUUGGAAUGAUGUGUCUAACAUAUAUUCAAGCGGCAUUUGGUUUUGUGCACAAUAGUUUCAGAAAGUUAUGAACGGCUUCCAUGGUACAUUUUACUACUAACGAUAUGUCUAAACAUUUUGACUGCCGUGGUUCUGCACAAUGAGCAAAGACUUUUUUUAUUUUGUUAUUCGCUGACACAAUCAUUACAUUUUGGAACACGAGGUAAGAGUUUUGAGUCAAUGACUUCAUUUUGCAGGCGAACCAUAAUGAUAAGAAAUGCAAUUGCACUUGUGAGGACUUCUAGAAAUUUGCUAAAGCGACCAAGAAAAGCUGCAUUCUUAUAGUCACGUUAUUAUGAUGUCAUUUAUUGAAUAUAAAAUCAAGCACAAGUUGUUUCUUUGCGCUAAAUGAAUGUUUAAAAAUCUUCAUUUUAUGCUUAUUUAUCAAGA